AACGAACGCUGGCGGCAGGCCUAACACAUGCAAGUCGAGCGAGAUCUUCGGGUCUAGCGGCGGACGGGUGAGUAACGCGUGGGAAUAUGCCCUUCUCUGCGGAAUAGCCUCGGGAAACUGAGCGUAAUACCGCAUACGCCCUUUGGGGGAAAGAUUUAUCGGAGAAGGAUUAGCCCGCGUUGGAUUAGGUAGCUGGUGGGGUAACGGCCUACCACGCCGACGAUCCAUAGCUGGUUUGAGAGGAUGAUCAGCCACACUGGGACUGAGACACGGCCCAGACUCCUACGGGAGGCAGCAGUGGGGAAUCUUAGACAAUGGGGGCAACCCUGAUCUAGCCAUGCCGCGUGAGUGAUGAAGGCCUUAGGGUUGUAAAGCUCUUUCAGCUGGGAAGAUAAUGACGGUACCAGCAGAAGAAGCCCCGGCUAACUCCGUG
rnacentral:rRNA from 1 species